GUGCCAGCAGCCGCGGUAAGACGUAGGGCGCGAGCGUUGUCCGGAUUUAUUGGGCGUAAAGAGCUCGUAGGCGGCUUGUCGCGUCGACCGUGAAAACUCGCAGCUCAACUGCGAGCCUGCGGUCGAUACGGGCAGGCUAGAGUUCGGUAGGGGAGACUGGAAUUCCUGGUGUAGCGGUGAAAUGCGCAGAUAUCAGGAGGAACACCGGUGGCGAAGGCGGGUCUCUGGGCCGAUACUGACGCUGAGGAGCGAAAGCGUGGGGAGCGAACAGGAUUAGAAACCCUCGUAGUCC
rnacentral:rRNA from 1 species